rnacentral:rRNA from 1 species
CACGAACGCUGGCGGCGUGGAUAAGACAUGCAAGUCGAACGGGACAGAUAGCAAUAUCUGUCUAGUGGCGAACGGGUGCGUAACACGUGGGCAACAUGCCUGGAAGAGCGGGAUAGCCCGGGGAAACUCGGAUUAAUACCGCAUGUGACAACGGGGCGGCUUCGCCCUGUUUUCAAAGGUGGGGACCGCAAGGCCUGCCGCUUCCAGAUUGGCCCGCGUCCUAUCAGCUAGUUGGCGGGGGAAAAGCCCACCAAGGCGACGACGGGGAGCUGGUCGGAGAGGAGGACGAGGCACACUGGAACUGAGACACGGUGCAGACACCUACGGGUGGCAGCAGUCGAGAGUCUUUCACAAUGGGGGAAACCCGGAUGGAGCGACGCCGCGUGGAGGAUGAAGGUCUUCGGAUUGUAAACUCCUGUCAUGAAAGAACAAGCGAUGCGGGUGAACAGCCCGCAAAGUUGAUAGUAUUUCAAGAGGAAGGGACGGCUAACUUCGUGCCAGCAGCCGCAGUAAUAC